CCCUUAGAUGUUCUGGGCCGCACGCGCGCUACAAUGAUGAAUUCAACGAGUUUAUAACCUUGGUUGAAAAGCCUGGGUAAUCUUUUGAACUUUCGUCGUGAUGGGGCUAGACCCUUGCAAUUAUUGGUCUCCAACGAGGAAUUCCUAGUAGACGUAGUUCAUCAGACUGCAUCGAUUACGUCCCUGCCCUUUGUACACACCGCCCGUCGCUCCUACCGAUUGAAUGCUCAGGUGAGCCAUUCGGACUUUCAUCAUGCUGGUUUCCAGUUUUGAUGAAGGAAAGUCUUGCGAACCUUAUCAUUUAGAGGAAGGAGAAGUCGUAACA
rnacentral:rRNA from 1 species